UACUAUUUGAUCCAAUAGCUGUGGUCUCUAUAUUGCCACAGUUCUAGCCAUGCCUGCAUCAAAUACAGCUUCAUGAGGAGGGAUGCUUGGGCAAAUCAAGGAUAGAUUUUUCCCCCUGUACGGAAACUUGAGCAAGUUCCAUUUCCCCAAAGAUCUAUGCGUUUUGAUGAUCAGCAAAGAAAUACAACAUCUUUCGAGCUAAAGAUGGUUCAGAAGAGGUAAAGCCAAAAAGAGGUGAAGGAUCUCCCCACACUCACAUGUCAUCAUGAAAUUAUUUUGUCUAGCAUUGUUCCACAGAUUCACUGGAAGUUAUCAGGACACAGCCUCAUCUUCUGAAAUGAAUAAAGAGUCAUCAUGUGUGUC